rnacentral:sRNA from 1 species
UAUCCAUCGUCUAUUGUGUGACCUGAGAGCUUUGUGGAAUUCGACCCUUAAGUACU